UACGUAGGUGGCAAGCGUUAUCCGGAAUUAUUGGGCGUAAAGCGCGCGCAGGCGGUUUCUUAAGUCUGAUGUGAAAGCCCACGGCUCAACCGUGGAGGGUCAUUGGAAACUGGGGAACUUGAGUGCAGAAGAGAAAAGCGGAAUUCCACGUGUAGCGGUGAAAUGCGUAGAGAUGUGGAGGAACACCAGUGGCGAAGGCGGCAUCCUGGACUGGUCCUGACACUCAGGAGCGAAAGCGUGGGGGAGCGAUCCGG
rnacentral:rRNA from 1 species